UGUGGAUUUACGAUAAACAGCACGCACCGCUGACGGGAGAGCGGAGUGUCGUU
rnacentral:sRNA from 1 species